rnacentral:rRNA from 1 species
CCUACGGGGUGCAGCAGUGAGGAAUAUUGGUCAAUGGACGGAAGUCUGAACCAGCCAUGCCGCGUGCAGGAAGAUGGCCCUAUGAGUUGUAAACUGCUUUUGUACAAGGGUAAACCUGAAUACGUGUAUUCAGCUGAAAGUACUGUACGAUUAAGGACCGGCUAACUCCGUGCCAGCAGCCGCGGUAAUACGGAGGAUCCAAGCGUUUUCCGGAUUUAUUGGGUUUAAAGGGUGCGUAGGCGGAUUGAUAAGUUGGAGGUGAAAUGUCCGGGCUUAAGUCGGGAACUGCCUCUAAUACUGUUGAUCUAGAGAGUGGAUGCGGUAGGCGGAAUGUGUGGUGUAGCGGUGAAAUGCUUAGAGAUCAUACAGAACACCGAUUGCGAAGGCAGCUUACCAAUCUAUGUCUGACGUUGAGGCACGAAAGCGUGGGGAGCAAACAGGAUUAGAUACCCGAGUAGUC